rnacentral:rRNA from 1 species
AGGACGACGCUGGCGGCGUGCCUAAUACAUGCAAGUCGAGCGGGGAUUAUGCUUGAUCGCUUCGGUGAGACGGCAUAUAUCCUAGCGGCGGACGGGUGAGUAGCGCGUGGGUAAUCUACCUCGUAGUUCGGGAUAACAGGCCGAAAGGCUUGCUAAUACCGGAUGAGUUCAUGCUUAUGCAUAUAGGCAUGAAGAAAGGGCUAGCCCGCUAUGAGAUGAGCCCGCGUCCCAUUAGCUUGUUGGUGGGGUAAUGGCCUACCAAGGCAACGAUGGGUAGCCGGCCUGAGAGGGUGUACGGCCACACUGGGACUGAGACACGGCCCAGACUCCUACGGGGGGCAGCAGUAGGGAAUUUUCGGCAAUGGGCGAAAGCCUGACCGAGCGACGCCGCGUGAGGGACGAAGGCCUUCGGGUUGUAAACCUCUGUCUGGGGGGAUGAGAACGGACGGUACCCCCGGAGGAAGCCCCGGCUAACUACGUG